rnacentral:lncRNA from 1 species
GGCAUGUGCGGUGUGGGACCCCCCAGCUUUGCACAGCCCGCUCUGUUCUGGGGCUGCGGUGGCAGAGCGGGUCCCUGCGGCUGAGUCAUUGUAAACGCCCUCCUCGCCCUUCCUGAGCCACUUUGCAAACUAAGCGAGGGUGUUUUUAGAGAUGAGACUGUUUUUUAAUCUGUAAGCACAAUGUGUGGCUGCGUUUGUUAGUUCGUGGAUUUGUUUUUGAAGGUGUUGGUAUUUCCUCACCUUUUCCAUCACAGCCUCUUCUAAAGAUGCUUCAGGAUAUCUGUAUCUCACAAUGACACCCACCACAUAUGUAUGCCUGAUUUCCUUUCACAAAUACUACGUCUUGUUCAUGUAACUAAUUUUUCUGGUCUCUUAUAUGUGGUUCCUGGAACACUUUCCAGGCUUUCUUUUUAGGGUCCUCUGUUAACAUAUAGUUGUGCCUUUUAAUUUGCUCAGUGGGGUGUGGUUUCUUAGCACCAGGGUCUGGCUGUCUGUCCUGCAGGGACAGGAGGACGGUCACACCAGCCUCACCACUGAAUGCACCCCGAAACAGCUCCAUCUGUGCCUCUGAAACCAGAGUAAACAUUCUCUCUUUGUCACAAGUCUCAGAGUGCCUGCGGGAUCAGUGACCUGUGCAGAAGCAGCUGCCAGAACACAGCUCCUGGGGCUGAUCCCCAGCUCUACACGCACCCCUUGGCAGCACAGGCAGAAGAACACCAGCAAGGUUCUCCUUAAUGCUCCAGAUGGGUUUGCCUUCCAAGAGGCCACUGAAAGUGGGAUCUGUCCAAAUGCUCAGCUCCUGCACCAGUCUCCACCAAAAGAAAAAAAUGCAACCAGCAUUCACCACAUAGAACUGAAGCCAAAAGCCUGACCUUCACUAUCAAUGGGGAGGAGCAUCUGCCCUGGGUGAGGGUCCUGUGCCCAGACCUUUGUAAUGUAGAGAGGACCCUGUGCUGUGCUUCAAGAGGCACCUGCUGGGAGAUGCAGAGAAACUCCCUCUGCUCCUCUGUAACAAUGGCAUUGUGUCUGUCCAUGCGAGGACCUGCUCAGGGAAUCUCCUGGUCUGGAAACCAGUGCUUGUCCCAUGAAGGAGAGGUCCCCCAAAAUAUGGCAGACUUGGGAACAGGUCUCAGAAAUUCUUUUUAAGCAAGUGACUGACUUCUGUUCUCCAGGAAGGGAGUUCUGCUUGGAAAUGUGAUUUUCUGACCAGUCUGUCCUCUUCAUCUAAGCACAACACAGGAAAGGUGGUGGGGGGUUUUCUGCCCUGUCUCUCAACUCACAUUUUUUUCUCGUGGGCAUGUGUGAUGUCCCAGUUUCAUUAGACUGUAUUUGAUCCCUGUUUACUACAUUUUAAUUAAACUUGGUUGUGGUUUAAUUACAUCCUGCUCAUUACUUUCAGUACCUUUUUUUCUGUCUGAUUUUACUUGACCUUUGUGCUAAGUGUUGUGUUUGUAGCAGGG